rnacentral:rRNA from 1 species
AUACGGAGGGUGCAAGCGUUAAUCGGAAUUACUGGGCGUAAAGCGUGCGUAGGCGGUUUAUUAAGUCAGAUGUGAAAGCCCCGGGCUUAACCUGGGAACUGCAUUUGAUACUGGUAGACUAGAGUAUGGUAGAGGGGGGUAGAAUUCCUAGUGUAGCGGUGAAAUGCGUAGAUAUUAGGUGGAAUACCAGUGGCGAAGGCGGCCCCCUGGACCAAUACUGACGCUGAGGUACGAAAGCGUGGGGAGCGAACAGGAUUAGAAACCCCAGUAGUCC